rnacentral:rRNA from 1 species
ACGGAAGGCAGCAGUGGGGGAUAUUGCACAAUGGAGGAAACUCUGAUGCAGCAACGCCGCGUGAAGGAAGAAGGUCUUCGGAUUGUAAACUUCUGUUCUUGGUGACGAAACAAAUGACGGUAGCCAAGGAGAAAGCCACGGCUAACUACGUGCCAGCAGCCGCGGUAAUACGUAGGUGGCAAGCGUUGUCCGGAAUUACUGGGUGUAAAGGGUGCGCAGGCGGGACUGCAAGUUGGAUGUGAAAUCCCGAGGCUUAACCUCGGAACUGCAUCCAAAACUGUGGUUCUUGAGUGAAGUAGAGGUUGGCGGAAUUCCGAGUGUAGCGGUGAAAUGCGUAGAUAUUCGGAGGAACACCAGCGGCGAAGGCGGCCAACUGGGCUUUAACUGACGCUGAGGCACGAAAGUAUGGGGAGCAGACAGGAUUAGAUACCCUGGUA